AAGCGUGGGGAGCGAACAGGAUUAGAUACCCUGGUAGUCCACGCCGUAAACGAUGAGUGCUAAGUGUUGGAGGGUUUCCGCCCUUCAGUGCUGCAGCAAACGCAUUAAGCACUCCGCCUGGGGAGUACGACCGCAAGGUUGAAACUCAAAGGAAUUGACGGGGGCCCGCACAAGCGGUGGAGCAUGUGGUUUAAUUCGAAGCAACGCGAAGAACCUUACCAGGUCUUGACAUCCUUUGACCACUCUAGAGAUAGAGCUUCCCCUUCGGGGGCAAAGUGACAGGUGGUGCAUGGUUGUCGUCAGCUCGUGUCGUGAGAUGUUGGGUUAAGUCCCGCAACGAGCGCAACCCUUAUUGUUAGUUGCCAUCAUUUAGUUGGGCACUCUAGCGAGACUGCCGGUGACAAACCGGAGGAAGGUGGGGAUGACGUCAAAUCAUCAUGCCCCUUAUGACCUGGGCUACACACGUGCUACAAUGGGAAGUACAACGAGUUGCGAAGUCGCGAGGCUAAGCUAAUCUCUUAAAGCUUCUCUCAGUUCGGAUUGUAGGCUGCAACUCGCCUACAUGAAGCCGGAAUCGCUAGUAAUCGCGGAUCAGCACGCCGCGGUGAAUACGUUCCCGGGCCUUGUACACAC
rnacentral:rRNA from 1 species